AGCUCUCCGAGUGGUGUGGAUGUUUAUUGGGCCUAAAGCAUCCGUAGCUGGCCAGGCCAGUCCCUUGUUAAACCCACCGAAUUAAUCGUUGGAUUGCGGGGGGAUACUGCCCGGCUAGGGGGCGAGAGAGGCAGACGGUAUUCUCGGGGUAGGGGUGAAAUCCUAUAAUCCCGGGAAGACCACCAGUGGCGAAGGCUGUCUGCUAGAACGAGCCCGACGGUGAGGGAUGAAAGCUGGGGGAGCGAACC
rnacentral:rRNA from 1 species